rnacentral:lncRNA from 1 species
CAAUAAUUCUGAACGGAACAUGGUGCACAAGAGUGAAUUUAUAGAUGUCUCCCACUAGAGAUCUGAUAAAUAAUUGUAAGGUUUUGUAAAGGUCUUGUUUCUAUCAGUACCUCUGCAAGAAUCUCACUUCCUUGCUUUCAAAAGGCUUUUCAACUCUGUGUUGUAGCACUAUACUUCUUAAAGAUACUUGCACUAAGAAUUGAAAUUCAUUAGCUAAACACUGCUCGUACAUUCAUAGAGAUAUAAGAAAUUUAAGAAUACCUAAUCACAAAAAAUAUAUACAUUUAUAGGAAUAUAAGAAAUUUAAGAAAAUCCAAUUCAUAUAUGAAUAGUUGCAGAUGCAUCACUUGUUUGAACUUUUAAGAAACAAAAUCAACUACAUUAUGGAUUUUAUCAAAAGUAAGUAAGUACAACAUGGAUAUAAAAAAAAAGAUCCAUUUGCUUCAUUCCUUCAACAUAUACUUAUUUGGAAAAUCUCAACUCAUUCCUUCAACAUAUGCUUCUUUAGAAUCUCUCAAUCGAAAAUAAGAUCAGGCCUAGGUAUGCCUAAAUUCGUUUAAAAUAUAAUGGUUAUGAAUCAUAUAUUUUUCUUAGUUAAGAUCAUCUACAAAAUCAAUAUAUGAACAAGGAUGACAGCACCAACAGUUAAUAGGAGGCAAUAAUCCCCAGACGUUAUAAAGAUAGAAAAUGAGGAGGCAUCGGUUUACCUCUUUACAGAUUCAUUCACGUUCCUGAAAGUUGAUUUUAGCAGCUCCAUAGGCUGUCAUGACAUUCACUUCCUUCAAGUUAAGCACUUUCCUCCCUCACUAUAACAUACAUUUUCAGAAGUAUUAAAUUUCAAAAUUUAGUACUAUAUCAUAAACCUGAAUCUUGGAAGUCAUCGAUAAUGUAGUAAAGCAAAGAAACAUGUAGGACAUAUAACAAAUCAAAGUCUUCCUUUAAAGCAUAUAUGUUGAAAUUUGUACGUCUUACAAUUAUUAGAGUAGGGAAAAAAUAAAAAUACAGAUGUAGAAUAUUUUCAAAAACCUGAAGCAUGUUAAACCUAGUUAAGAGUUAAACACAUACAUAAGGUAUGACCCUCCAUCCAGCUUAGACAUUAGAAUUUCACAACAAAAGACAUGACGUGGCAAUAUAUUUUGAAAGACAUAUAAUAUCUUUAUUCAUGAAAGUCCCAUAGCUUCCGCCAUUAGGAAAUGUAUGUCAUCAAUUGCUCCAUCACAAUUCUCAAAAUAGAUCAAAUGUAUGUUUUAAUUGGCUUUCAGAAGUAACACAAUGGUUUAACUUUGUCAAAAAUUAGUUCGGAAGCAAGGAUAAAUUAGACACCUUCAUAUGUUGCUAGAGGAAUAUCAAACCUUGGUGGCUUAAAUGAUGAGACCAGUGAAAUGGUUACAUGGUUACAGAGGCAUUUAAUGUUCGGUCAAAAUGACAGUUGAUGACUUCAGUUGAGUACUUGUAAAGCUCUUGACUACUCAAAUCAGAUUGUGGGCAUCUAUGAACCUAUAAAGUGUGCAGUGUAAUUUAUUUUCGUCCAUGAAACAUAUUAUGAAACUUGAUGUGCAAUACUCAAACAUCAAAAGCAUGGAAAUUAUAAUCAAUGAUCAGCCUAUCCUACCCUAACAAUUAGUAUUAGACCUUAUUUGUUAAUAUUCAGAAGAACCGAUGACAGGCUUACAUUUAAAAAUAGAUACCGUUUACAUUUUUUCUUCUACCAUAGGAAGGUGUUAUCAAGUAAACAUUAAAUCUCACAUAUCUCUGUAAAUAUCGGCACAAAACUUUGAGCCCUGCAAAUAUGAAAAUAAGAGGCAUGCCAUAAAAAAAUAUUAUAAAAAUGUAAAGAGUGCAAGAAGACUUGUUUUAAGAAAUCAUUCUGUUGAGGCAACUUAUGCUAUACCAAUAAAAGAAACCAAUUGGCACAAGUCAUGCAAACAUGAAUUCAUAGAUAGCUUUACUUCUCUUUUCAUUCUUAAGUAGAGAAAACUUUUAACUAUAAACUAUUUGUCUGUCGUUCAGCUAUUUACAAAGAAAACAAUUUCUGAGAAAAUCCAAGAAAAGCUAGGCAAUUCAGUCUCUCACAAGACCAAUUAGUUUACGUCUGAAACAGCAAGAACAAAUUAAAUAAAAAAAGUUAAAUGAAAAGCAAAAAUCGAACACAUAAGAAAAACAAAAGGAAAACAUAAAAUAUAACAUAAACUAAAGUUGGGCGGAAGGAUGAACAACAAAUCGUUGAGAAAUUUGCAGCAACUAUUAGGAGGGGAAGAAAUGGAACACAUCAGAAAAUCAAGAACGGACAUAUGGAUAUUGCAGGAUGUUAACUCAGAUAAGAAGCUGAAGUAGCAAAGAAAAAUGAGAACAAAGAACAACAGAAAUAUAACACAUGACAAAUUCGAAGCAGCUAUUAUAUGGAGGGAACAAAUGAAACACAUGAGAAAAUUAAAAACGAAAAUAUGAAAUAUUACAGAAGCCUAACACAGUGAAGAAGUACAAGUGAUAUUUUAGGAUAAUUAUCAAUUCAUUUGAAAGUGUCGAAUUAUUUAAAACAUACAUCCAUUUAUAAAAAAGACAUUCACAAAAAGAGUGAAUUCACCAAAUAACUUUUUCUAGAAGUUCAAAGCUUCAUAACAGAGGAAUAUGAACUUACAUAUUCUUGAUCCAACUAAGAAGCUUCAACUCCUGUUCA